rnacentral:rRNA from 1 species
CCUGACGGUAGUCGUAUGCUCGUCUCCGAGACUAAGCCAUGCAAGUCCAAGUACACGUCCUUGAACGACGGAAACUGCGAACGGCUCAUUAAAUCAGUUGCGAUCUACUCGGCGUUCCGCGCCGCCGGAUAACCGUAGUAAUUCUAGGGCUAAUACGUGCGAAGCGCCCGAAGCCGCGAGGCGACGGGCGUUCUCGCCGGAUGUAGGAACCGACCCGGGGACCGCCGGGGCAACCCGGCGCCCCCGAGACGGGGCGAACCACGGUGAAAUGACGGAUCGUCGGCCCCGCGCCGGCGACUCGCCGAAUGAGUUUCUGACCUAUCAACUCGAGACGGCGGGGUAGAGGCCCGCCGCGGUAACGACGGGUAACGGGGAAUCAGGGUUCGAUUCCGGAGAGGGAGCCCGAGAACGGCUACCACUUCCAAGGAAGGCAGCAGGCGCGCAACUUACCCUAAUCUCGAUUCGAGGAGGUAGUGACAAGAAAUACCGAUGCGG